GUCUACGGCCACAUCACGUUGAAAGCACCCGAUCUCGUUCGAUCUCGGAAGUUAAGCAACCUCGGGCUUGGUUAGUACUUGGAUGGGUGACCGCCUAGGAAUACCAAGUGUUGUAAUCU